UACGAAGGGUGCAAACGUUGCUCGGAAUCAUUGGGCGUAAAGCGCACGUAGGCGGCCCUGUAAGUCGGAUGUGAAAUCCCUCGGCUUAACCGAGGACGUGCAUCCGAAACUGCAAGGCUCGAGUAUGGAAGAGGGUCGCGGAAUUCCCGGUGUAGAGGUGAAAUUCGUAGAUAUCGGGAGGAACACCAGUGGCGAAGGCGGCGACCUGGGCCAAUACUGACGCUGAGGUGCGAAAGCGUGGGGAGCAAACAGG
rnacentral:misc_RNA from 1 species